CUCAGGACGAACGCUGGCGGCGCGGUUAAGACAUGCAAGUCGAACGAGAAGCUCCCUUCGGGGAGUGGAGAGUGGCGCACGGGUGAGUAACACGUGAGCAACCUGCCGGGAAGCCCGGGAUAGCCCUCCGAAAGGAGGAUUAAUACCGGAUGUGGCCACCCUGCGAUUGCGGGGGAAGCUAAAGGAUUUAUUCACUUCCCGAGGGGCUCGCGGCCCAUCAGCUUGUUGGUGAGGGUAACGGCCCACCAAGGCGACAACGGGUAGCUGGUCUGAGAGGAUGGUCAGCCACACUGGAACUGAGACACGGUCCAGACACCUACGGGUGGCAGCAGUCGAGAAUCAUUCGCAAUGGGGGAAACCCUGACGAUGCGACGCCGCGUGGAGGAUGAAGGCCUUAGGGUUGUAAACUCCUGUCAAGAGGGAAUAAGCAAGUGAAGGUACCUCUAGAGGAAGGGGCGGCUAAUUCCGUGCCAGCAGCCGCGGUAACACGGAAGCCCCGAGCGUUGUUCGGAUUCAUUGGGCGUAAAGGGUGCGUAGGCGGCGCGGAAAGUCCGGCGUGAAAGGCAGGGGCUCAACCUCUGGACUGCGUUGGAUACUUCCGUGCUUGAGGACUGGAGGGGAGACUGGAAUUCACGGUGUAGCAGUGAAAUGCGUAGAUAUCGUGAGGAAGACCGGUGGCGAAGGCGAGUCUCUGGACAGAUCCUGACGCUGAGGCACGAAGGCUGGGGGAGCGAACAGGAUUAGAUACCCUGGUAGUCCCAGCAGUAAACGAUGUGAGCUUGAUGUGGGGGGAUUCGACCCCUUCCGUGUCGAAGCUAACGCGAUAAGCUCACCGCCUGAGGAGUACGGCCGCAAGGCUAAAACUCAAAGAAAUUGACGGGGACCCGCACAAGCGGUGGAGUAUGUGGCUUAAUUCGAUGCAACGCGAAGAACCUUACCUGGCCUGGACAUGCAUUGUGUCGUCGGUGAAAGCCGGCUAGUCCUGGAAACAGGACGCUUUGCACAGGUGCUGCAUGGCUGUCGUCAGCUCGUGUCGUGAGAUGUUGGGUUAAGUCCCGCAACGAGCGCA
rnacentral:rRNA from 1 species